UACGUAGGGUGCAAGCGUUAAUCGGAAUUACUGGGCGUAAAGCGUGCGCAGGCGGUUGUGCAAGACAGAUGUGAAAUCCCCGGGCUCAACCUGGGAACUGCGUCUGAUACUGGGAGGCUUGAGUAUGGGAGAGGGAUGUAGAAUUCCAGGUGUAGCGGUGAAAUGCGUAGAUAUCUGGAGGAAUACCGGUGGCGAAGGCGGCAUCCUGGACCGGCAUUGACGCUGAGGAGCGAAAGCCAGGGGAGCAAACGGG
rnacentral:rRNA from 1 species